CACGUAGGGCGCAAGCGUUGUCCGGAAUUAUUGGGCGUAAAGAGCUCGUAGGCGGUCUGUUGCGUCCGCUGUGAAAACUCGGGGCUUAACCCCGAGCCUGCAGUGGAUACGGGCAGACUAGAGGUAGGUAGGGGAGAAUGGAAUUCCCGGUGUAGCGGUGAAAUGCGCAGAUAUCAGGAGGAACACCGGUGGCGAAGGCGGGUCUCUGGGCCGAGACUGACGCUGAGGAGCGAAAGCGUGGGGAGCGAACAGG
rnacentral:rRNA from 1 species